GCGGCGGACGGGUGACUAACACGUAUGCAACCUACCCUUGAGAUUGGGAUAACUACCGGAAACGGUAGCUAAUACCGGAUACGACAUUCCUGCAUAAGUAAGAAUGUUAAAAGGCGGAUUUAUCUGCCGCUCAUGGAUGGGCCUGCGGUGCAUUAGCUAGUUGGUGAGAUAGUAGCUCACCAAGGCGACGAUGCAUAGCCGACCUGAGAGGGUGAUCGGCCACACUGGGACUGAGACACGGCCCAGACUCCUACGGGAGGCAGCAGUAGGGAAUCUUCCGCAAUGGACGCAAGUCUGACGGAGCAACGCCGCGUGAGUGAUGAAGGGUUUCGGCUCGU
rnacentral:rRNA from 1 species